rnacentral:rRNA from 1 species
GAUGAACGCUGGCGGCGUGCUUAACACAUGCAAGUCGAACGAAGCAUUUGCGACAGAUUUUUUCGGAAUGAAGUUGCUUAUGACUGAGUGGCGGACGGGUGAGUAACGCGUGGGUAACCUGCCUUGUACUGGGGGAUAGCAGCUGGAAACGGCUGGUAAUACCGCAUAAGCGCACAAUGUUGCAUGACAUGGUGUGAAAAACUCCGGUGGUAUAAGAUGGACCCGCGUCUGAUUAGCUAGUUGGUGAGAUAACAGCCCCCCAAGGCGACGAUCAGUAGCCGACCUGAGAGGGUGACCGGCCACAUUGGGACUGAGACACGGCCCAGACUCCUACGGGAGGCAGCAGUGGGGAAUAUUGCACAAUGGAGGAAACUCUGAUGCAGCGACGCCGCGUGAGUGAAGAAGUAAUUCGUUAUGUAAAGCUCUAUCAGCAGGGAAGAUAGUGACGGUACCUGACUAAGAAGCGCCGGCUAAAUACGUG